CCUGAUGCAGCGACGCCGCGUGAGGGAUGACGGCCUUCGGGUUGUAAACCUCUUUCAGCAGGGAAGAAGCGAGAGUGACGGUACCUGCAGAAGAAGCGCCGGCUAACUACGUGCCAGCAGCCGCGGUAAUACGUAGGGCGCAAGCGUUGUCCGGAAUUAUUGGGCGUAAAGAGCUCGUAGGCGGCUUGUCACGUCGGGUGUGAAAGCCCGGGGCUUAACCCCGGGUCUGCAUUCGAUACGGGCUAGCUAGAGUGUGGUAGGGGAGAUCGGAAUUCCUGGUGUAGCGGUGAAAUGCGCAGAUAUCAGGAGGAACACCGGUGGCGAAGGCGGAUCUCUGGGCCAUUACUGACGCUGAGGAGCGAAAGCGUGGGGAGCGAACAGGAUUAGAUACCCUGGUAGUCCACGCCGUAAACGGUGGGAACUAGGUGUUGGCGACAUUCCACGUCGUCGGUGCCGCAGCUAACGCAUUAAGUUCCCCGCCUGGGGAGUACGGCCGCAAGGCUAAAACUCAAAGGAAUUGACGGGGGCCCGCACAAGCAGCGGAGCAUGUGGCUUAAUUCGACGCAACGCGAAGAACCUUACCAAGGCUUGACAUACACCGGAAACGGCCAGAGAUGGUCGCCCCCUUGUGGUC
rnacentral:rRNA from 1 species